GAGACAGAGUCUUGCUAUGUAGUCCUGGCUGGCUUGGUACUCACUACAUAGCCCAAAGAGGCCUCAAAAUAAUGGCAAUCCUUCUGCCUCAGACUC
rnacentral:miRNA from 1 species